ACAACCUGAGUUUAAUUUCAGAAUCCUCAUGGUGGAAGGGAGAACCAAUGCUUUGUGGUUGUCCUCUGACAUCUAUGUGUAUGACAUGGCGUGUUCAGGUUAGUCGUGAACAUUGGAAGGAGCAGAGGGACCAAUCAGGAGAAGCCACAGGACUGGCCACAGGACUGGCCAUAGUCCUCCUGGAGUAGGCUGUGAAGCCAGAACUGAUGGCCUGGAGUGGCACCAGGAAACUUAUGCAUCAUGUGUUUACAGAUCUCACACACACAGCUUGGGUUCUUAAGCCUACUUCCUAUCCUAUGUCUAAAGCCCAUUUCACGUAUGAGGACAAUCAAGGCUAAGUACUUGCUACAGAAUGUCACCCAGCUUAGAGUGUUGAGAACUCAGAUCUUCCCGUCUCUACUUCCCAAGUUGAGAGCACAGGUGUGCGCCACCAUACAGGAUUUAUGCAUUGCUGGGGAUAACGUCUCAUGUGUGCUAGAUAAUUCAUCCACCAACUGAGCUGCAUCCCCAGCCUGGUUCAGUGCUCUACAGCGACAGAAUCAAAGAACACUAAAUAAAAGUAAAAUAAUAAAAAAAUAACAGUAAGAA